GUGUGCUCUAAUAGAUCAUGGAGGAGCACUGUGCUCAGAGUGCUGUGUGCUCUAAUAGAUCAUGGAGGAGCACUGUGCUCAGAGUGUUGUGUGUUCUAAUACAUCAUGGAGGAGCACUGUGCUCAGAGUGCUGUGUGUUCUAAUAGAUCCUGGAGGAGCAGUGUGGUGUUCCAGUACAUGCUGGAGAAGCGCUCUGCACAGAGUGCUGUGAGAGCAGUAAGUUGCUAUAUGAAGAGCAUUGCUGACCUGUAUCUCAGAGAGGGGAAGUGCAGUCACUUUAUACUAUGUAUUAAGCAGUACAAGGAAU